GAUGAAGAACGUAGCGAAAUGCGAUAAGUAAUGCGAAUUGCAGAAUUUCCGUGAGUCAUCGAAUCUUUGAACGCACAUUGCGCCCCCUGGUAUUCCGGGGGGCAUGCCUGUCCGAGCGUCAUUGCUGCCCUCAAGCACGGCUUGUGUGUUGGGCCCCCGUCCCCGGUUUCCCCCGGGGACGGGCCCGAAAGGCAGCGGCGGCACCGCGUCCGGUCCUCGAGCGUAUGGGGCUUUGUCACCCGCUCUGUAGGCCCGGCCGGCGCCAGCCGACACCCAACUUUAUUUCUAAGGUUGACCUCGGAUCAGGUAGGGAUACCCGCUGAACUUAAGCAUAUCAAUAAGCGGAGGA
rnacentral:misc_RNA from 1 species